UGUUGCCUGUUUAUAAAUGGAGGGAGAGAGGGGACACUAAUGUAAUAACUGGACUGUGGAGUGACUAUUAUAUGGUAGAGGCAAAGCAAACACCUUU